rnacentral:rRNA from 1 species
AGAGAUUCUGGGAUGAGUUCUAGCUCAAAUGGUACGCGAAUUGGAGCGCAACCGCUCUGCGAUGAGACUGCGUCGGAUCAGGCAGUUGGCGGGGUAACGGCCCACCAAACCUAUUACCCGUAGGGGAUAUGAGAGUAAGAGCCCCGAGAAGGGCACUGAGACAAUGGCCCUAGCGCUACGGCGUGCAGCAGGCGCGCAAACUCCACAAUGCGCAUACGCGUGAUGGGGGGAAUCUGAGUGGUCCACUUCGGUGGACCUUUUGCCAAGUAUAGCAAGCUUGGCGAAUAAGUGCUGGGCAAGACGGGUGGCAGCCGCCACGGUAAUACCCGCAGCACAAGUGGUGUCCACGAUUAUUGGGCUUAAAGCGCUCGUAGCUGGCCGGUGUCGUCUUAUGUGAAAUAUUGGCGCUCAACGUCAAUGCGGGCAUGAGAUACCCACCGGCUUAGGAGCGGGUGAGGUCAGGGGUACUUACGGGGGAGGGGUAAAAUCCUGUAAUCCUGUAAGGACCAACGGUGGCGAAGGCGCCUGACCAGAACGCAUCCGACAGUGAGGAGCGAGGGCUAGGAGAACGAAUCGGAUUAGAUACCCGAGUAGCCCUAGCAGUAGAUUAUGCAGACUCUGGUGUUGCAAGUAUCACGAAUGCUUGCAGU